UACGUAGGGCGCAAGCGUUGUCCGGAAUUAUUGGGCGUAAAGAGCUCGUAGGCGGCUUGUCACGUCGGGUGUGAAAGCCCGGGGCUUAACCCCGGGUCUGCAUUGGAUACGGGCUAGCUAGAGUGUGGUAGGGGAGAUCGGAAUUCCUGGUGUAGCGGUGAAAUGCGCAGAUAUCAGGAGGAACACCGGUGGCGAAGGCGGAUCUCUGGGCCAUUACUGACGCUGAGGAGCGAAAGCGUGGGGAGCGAACAGG
rnacentral:rRNA from 1 species